GCCGUGGAAGCUUUAAGAAGCAUUGGCCUUGUAACCCGAAUAUGUGGAUAGCACCUCCACCCGCGGCU
rnacentral:tRNA from 1 species